rnacentral:rRNA from 1 species
UGACUGUACAAAGGUAGCAUAAUCAAUAGUCUCUUAAUUGGUGACUUGAAUGAAAGAUUGGAUGAAAUAUAUACUGUCUCUUUAAUAAUAAUAGAAUUUAAUUUUUUAAUUAAAAAGUUAAAAUAAAUUUAAAAGACGAGAAGACCCCAUAGAGUUUUAUAUAUUUGUUAAUUAAUAUUAUUUAUAAAUUAAUAAAAUUGAAAUUAAUUUGAUAUAUUAUAUUGGGGUGAUAAAAAAAUUUAUUUAACUUUUUUUUUUAAAUUAACAUAAAUAAGUGACUAAUAAUGAUCCAAAAUUUUUGAUUAUAAGAUAAAAUUACCUUGGGGAUAACAGCGUAAUUUUUUUUUUUAGUUCGAAUAAAAAAAAAGUUUGCGACCUCGAUGUUGGAUUAAGAUAAAAUUUAAAUGCAAAAGUUUAAAAUUUUGAUCUGUUCGAUCAUUAAAAUCUU